UACGUAGGGUCCGAGCGUUGUCCGGAAUUAUUGGGCGUAAAGGGCUCGUAGGCGGUCCGUCAAGUCGGCUGUGAAAUCUCAGGGCUCAACCCUGAGCUUGCAGUCGAUACUGGCGGACUUGAGGCAGGUAGGGGAGAGUGGAAUUCCCGGUGUAGCGGUGAAAUGCGCAGAUAUCGGGAGGAACACCAGUAGCGAAGGCGGCUCUCUGGGCCUGUCCUGACGCUGAGGAGCGAAAGCGUGGGUAGCGAACAGG
rnacentral:rRNA from 1 species